rnacentral:rRNA from 1 species
AUUGAACGCUGGCGGCAUGCCUUACACAUGCAAGUCGAACGGCAGCACGGGUGCUUGCACCUGGUGGCGAGUGGCGAACGGGUGAGUAAUACAUCGGAACGUACCUUAUCGUGGGGGAUAACGCAGCGAAAGCUGUGCUAAUACCGCAUACGCCCUGAGGGGGAAAGCGGGGGAUCGCAAGACCUCGCGCGAUUAGAGCGGCCGAUGCCUGAUUAGCUAGUUGGUGGGGUAAAAGCCCACCAAGGCGACGAUCAGUAGCUGGUCUGAGAGGACGAUCAGCCAAACUGGGACUGAGACACGGCCCAGACUCCUACGGGAGGCAGCAGUGGGGAAUUUUGGACAAUGGGGGCAACCCUGAUCCAGCAAUGCCGCGUGAGUGAAGAAGGCCUUCGGGUUGUAAAGCUCUUUUGUCAGGGAAGAAACACCGGCUCUAACACAGUCCGGGAAUGACGGUAUCUGAAGAAUAAGCACCGGCUAACUACGUGCCAGCAGCCGCGGUAA